CAUAAUUUUUUUAGACUAAUAAAUUUGGUUACUAAUAUACUUACAGAAUUGUUUUAGACUAAUAAAUUUAGUUGCUAGUAUAUUAUUAACAUUUAGGGACCAAAUAUUUUCUCCAUCAUCAAUUAAAAACAAUUUGAGACCAAUUAUUUUCAUCAUUUUAACAAUUGAAAAGUCGGGCCCUCGUUCUUUACUUCAGCCCUAACUUGCUCAUUCUCUCUCUCUCUCUCUCCCUCCCUCCCUCUGUGAUCGAUCUUCAUACCUGUAAGAGCUCCAAGGCAGAUUGAGCUCUACAUUUGAAGAUUAAUAGUCGUUUUUCAAUUAACAAUUGAAGAUUGAGCUCAAUCUUCAAUUGUCAAUCUUCAAUCUCUCGCACCUCAGUUUGCUCAAUCUUCAGCCCUAAAGUCGGGAGCUCCAAGGCAGAUUGGGAGCUCAAUCUUCCUCAAAUUUUGGUGUGUGUGUGUGUCUCUCUCUCUCUCUCUCCGUAAUUGAUCUCCACAAUCGACCUGUGGAUUUGGCAGUAUUAAAGCUGCGAUUAGCAAGGUUGAAGAUACAACAGAGCGUAAGAAAGGACGUGGGAAGUCAUGAAGCCUCGCAUUACUCAAGAUAAAAAGUCAAGGGAAGCGAUUGGAUGUUGAAAUUUGUAGGAUUACUGGGAAUCCAUUGGGACCAUGGUCUAAUAAAUUCACCACCGAGUUGGGGAUCGUCACUAGGCAAUUUUCCCCACAAAAUGUGCCUAAGUGGAGUUUUAUUAGCCCCGAGGAUAAAGAAACGCUAAUUGCAUACCUUCGAGAAGGUUUCAUUUUUAGUAAUGAACCUUAUGCUAUUGCCUCUAUCCUUGGAAUGAUGAAACUCCGGUACAAGACCUACCGCUUUAAUCUAUGCCAACAUUUUAGAAGUUUCCCUACGAUGGAAUCAGCCCUUGCAAACCCACAUGAAGAUAUCGAAAAAGAGGUGUGGCGAUACCUGUGUCAAUUAUGGGAUGAUAAGACGUACUAGUUCAUUUUCAUCACAGUGUACCUUCAUCUCAGGGUAUAUCAGUUCGUAAUUAGGGUUUCACAAUCACUCUGGUAAGUUUUUCUACAAUCCAAUGAGUUUUUCUUUAGAAACACAGUUAAUUGCAUUUUAUAUUAGCCUUUCAUUAAUAGGGUUUCAAUUUCGUAAUAAAAGCUACAUGAAUUUAAAAAAUGUUAUAUCUCUCAUUUUGAACUUAUUCUUGAACAUUGUUGUGUGAUUUUGUCUGUAAAUUUUUCUGGUUUCAGAAUUUUUCUGGCAUUUGCUUGAUCUAUGUUUCUUCUUUGAAUUUUCUCUAAUUUGUUUAUGUUUAUUCUAUCAUUUUCUCUAGCAUGGUUAAUUUCUCUGUAUUUCUCUGUGUAAUUUUCAAAUUCAAUUCAUUCAAAUUUCUCUGCUCUAUAAAUUUCUCUGGCAUUUUAAUUUUCUCUGGAAUGUGUAAUUUUCUCAAGCAUUUUCAUUUUCUAUGCUUGCUAAAUUUAUAUUUCUUUUUUGAAUUUUCUUUGGCUAUAUAUUAUAUCUAUAUGUAAUUUUACUCUCUUGUCCGUGUCUUUUUUUUUUUUUUUGAUAAUGCAAGUAUCCCCAACCCUCUGGUUUUCCGGGAAGUCAGGACUAAUCCUGCGAGGUAAGUAGCCCGGGGGAAGCCGUGUACCCUUCUCAAACUCUUGUCCGUGUCUAUGUUUUUAUGGCAUUUAUAAUUUUCUCUGGCCACAUCACUUUUCUCCCUUGUAUGUGUCUGUCGUGUUUAAUUUUCUCUAAUUGUGUCUUUAAAUUUCUCUACCAUUUUCAUAUUAUGGAAUGGAAAUUUUCUCUGGCUUGCCAUGUUUAAUUUUCUCUGGAAUGUGUAAUUUUCUCUGUUAUUUUCAUUUUCUGUGCUUGCUAGAUUUAUAUUUCUUUCUUGAAUUUUCUUUGGCCAUAUUUUACAUCUAUAUGUAAUUUUUAGUAAUUAUUCAAAAUUUCUCUGUCUUAUGUUGCUUUAUUUAUUUUCUCUGGAAAUGGAAAUGAAUUGUAGCUGCAUGUAUUCCACAUUACUUUUCUCCUUUGCUUCUGUAUGCCAUGUUUUUAAUUUUCAGUGCCUAAUUUUCUCUGACAUUUAUAGUUUUCUUUGGCCACCUUAGUUUUCUCCCUUAUAUGUAAUUUUCUCUAGGAAUGGAAUUGAACUGUGGCUACAUGUAUUCCAUAUUAUUUUUCUCCCUUGUGCCUGUUUGCCAUGUUUUUAAUUUUUAGUGUCUAAUUUUCUCUGGCCACCUUAGUUUUAUCCCUUAUGUGUAAUUUUCUCUGGGAAUGGAAAUGAACUGUGGUUGCAUGUAUUCCACAUUACUUUUCUCCCUUGUGUCUGUUUGCCAUGUUUUUAAUUUUCAAUGUCUAAUUUUCUUUGACAUUUAUAAUUUUCUCUGGCCACAAUAGUUUUCUCUCUUAUGUGUAAUUUUCUCUGGGAAUGGAAAUGAAUUGUGGCUGCAUGUAUUCCACAUUACUUUUCUAUCUUGUGUCUGUCUGCAAUGUUUUUAAUUUUCAGUGUCUAAUUUUUUCUGACAUUUAUAAUUUUCUCUGGCCGCCUUAGUUUUCUCCUUAUGUGUAAUUUUCUCUGACAUUUUCAAUUUUCUCUGGGAUUUAAAGUUGACAUUUUUAUGUUUCCAUUGUCUAGAAACGGCGAAACGUAAAACCAGCAAAACACCAGAAACACCAAGAAAUAAACAAAAACUCUCUGAGUCUUCUUAUGAUCUUAGAUAAAAAAACAGCAAAACACCACAAACUCCUCACCAAAAAACACAAGUCCAAGGUGAUGAAGGAACAAGCCUCAAGAUGAGUACCCCAACUUAAAAAGACUCAAGCUCAAGGGCGAAAAAACCUGUUAAACUCCAAAGAAAGAGAGCUCAUUAAAGCAUUCAAUAUCGAUCCAACCUCUCAUCUGUUAUCACAUUUUUUGAAACACUUAAAUUCAAUUCAAACCAACUUGAAGAGCUUCAAAGGACGUCAUUCUGGUAUUUGAUCCAAGUUCUAACCAUUGGAAGGAUGGAUCCAAGAAAGUCUAGGAAAUCUGAUGAUGAUGUAGUUGUAAUAAUCCAAUGCUACAAUGAAAAAAUGAAAGCAUUCACUGCUGAUAAAAACAAAUUGACCUUUACAACCAACGACAUGACCUUGAUUUUUGGUUUGCAAGGUGGUAAAGGAGCCAUGUCACUAAAAUACUCAAAAAAGCCAAACACUGCAUUCCUAAGGCGAAGAUUCCUAAAGGACACAAGACUCAUUGAUCCUGUUCUUAAGAAUGCCUUAGUCAAAGUAAUGAAAGGCAGACAACCAACUGACUUCAAAGAUGUAGUAAUCAUUGUUACCUUGUACUUGUGUCUCACCCUAUUUUUUGCAACAAGUGGGAAUUCAAUAGGGUGAAUUUUUAUCAAGUACGUCAAACCUCUUGAAUCAAUGAAGCAAUAUGAUUGGUCAGAAGCUAUCGCAGCAACAUUGAUCGAUUCUAUCACAACAUUGCACAUAACUUCAAAAAAAGUUACGGGGUGCAUCAUUGCAUUGCUGUAUUGGCUAUGUGAACAUGUGAAUAUCAUCGAUUUGGAAGACAGUAACACAACUGAAUUCCCAAGAUGUACCAAGUGGAACCUACAAAGCUUGACCAAACAGUUACAGAAGACACCAGUCUACUCUCUUGUAUCUCGACAGUUAGAAUAGAAGUAGAACAACAACCAACAACCCAGCAAGAACAAGUGGCACACAAACAACAACCAAAACAAAAGACAAAAGUCUAUGUGAAAAAAGAUCCUACAUCAAUGAUAAAGAAUUUAAAGGCAAAAGAGAGGAAAGAAAAACAACAAGAUCCCGACUUUCAAUAUCCCAAAGUUGUGAAGGUGAUUAGAGGUUCAAAACAAGCUGCAAAGAAAAUAGAGUAAACCACCAAAGACAAAGAAGUACUUGAUGCCGAUGAGUACGUCUUGCCUCAACCAACAAACAUCAGAAAAUCUUGGGUUUUUCCACAAACUCUACCAGUUGCAAAAUUGGUAAAAGAACAUGUAAAAGAUAUUUUGCAGCACAUAUCAGAUGUGUCUGGACUCGAGUAAGUACAACAAAUAAAAUAGAAAAUAACAAACAACAAUUUACUAACUUAUAUUGCAUUAAUAACUACUAAAUCCCUUAUUUGUCAUCUUGUAGGCCUUUAAUCUAGACAAGUGAAUUGAAUCUCAUUACUUUUGAAGAUAUUAAAAACCUAAUAAAGGAAAAAAGAAAUUGCCAACAAUGUAAGUUUUUCAUCAAAAUUUCUUUGCAAUAUUCCAUCAGUCUUUAUAAACCAAUGUUACAAUUAUAAAUAAUAUUUCUCUGCAAUAUUCCAUAAGCUUGGUAUAUUACUACUUUUUUAUUUGAUUUUCUUUGUAAUUUACUUACUACUUUCUCUUAUUAAGAUACUUCUUGAAACCAGUUGUGCCACUAGUCUAAUUUUCUCUAGUUAGUUAUGUACAUUUAAAAUUUCUCUGUGUGUAUAUUUCUAAAAUUCUUGUCAUUUCAACUUUCUCAUAAUCAUUUUUUGAUUUUCUCUGACCGCAUAACUUCAUCAAGAUGACGGAAAAUCAAACUUUCCGAGUCUCAUUAUUUGACAAGCAUAUUGAAACCGCAUAGAGGAACCUCCCAAUAAAUACUGAGGGCAAUGAAAAGUCAACAGAUGAAAAUCACUGGACGGUGCUUGUCUUGGACAAACAAGACAAUUUAUGGAGGUACUACAACUCACUAAGGCCAAUGAGGGAUGAUGCACAAGACAAACAUAUCAAAGAUGCAAAACAAUUGCAAAAUUAUGUGGAGAAUUUUCUAAAAGCUUGUCUUGAAAGAGAGGCACAAUCACAACCCUAUUUUAAAUUGAUAGACUCACAAAACACAAAUUAUGACUUUCAAUAUGUCAACAAUGGUCCACACUAAGCCAGUGAUUCUGUGGAUUGUGGUUUCUUUGUAUGCUACAUAAUGAGACAAUAUACCAACUAUGAACCUAUCAGCUCGACAUUGUCAACACAAGAUGUAAGGUUGAUGAGGGUAGAAAUCAUAAAGAGAUUUAUGACCGAAGUUGGCCGGUCAUGGACAGAACCAGUUCAAAUACCACCAGAAGAAGAACCAAAAGUAUAAUAGUGAAAGGAAGACAAUGCCCACAAUGUAAUUAGGAUCAAUUUUUUUUUCUUCAUACAUUGAAGGAAAGAUGAUGUUUGACAUAUAUGUAUAUAUCUUUUUUUGACUAAUGUAAAU